rnacentral:rRNA from 1 species
CGCUGGCGGCGUGCUUAACACAUGCAAGUCGAACGGGAUCCAAGCAGCUUGCUGUUUGGUGAGAGUGGCGAACGGGUGAGUAAUGCGUGACCGACCUGCCCCAUGCUCCGGAAUAGCUCCUGGAAACGGGUGGUAAUGCCGGAUGCUCCAGUUGACCGCAUGGUCUUCUGGGAAGGAUUUUAUCGGCAUGGGAUGGGGUCGCGUCCUAUCAGCUUGUUGGUGGGGCAAUGGCCCACCAAGGCUUCGACGGGUAGCCGGCCUGAGAGGGCGACCGGCCACAUUGGGACUGAGAUACGGCCCAGACUCCUACGGGAGGCAGCAGUGGGGAAUAUUGCACAAUGGGCGCAAGCCUGAUGCAGCGACGCCGCGUGAGGGAUGACGGCCUUCGGGGUUGUAAACCUCUUUUGUUAGGGAGCAAGCGUAAGUGAGUGUACCUUUCGAAUAAGCACCGGCUAACUACGUGCCAGCAGCCGCGG